GGAGGAAAGCAGGGGAUCGUAAGACCUUGCGUUAAUGGAGCGGCCGAUAUCUGAUUAGCUAGUUGGUGAGGUAAAGGCUCACCAAGGCGACGAUCAGUAGCUGGUUUGAGAGAACGACCAGCCACACUGGAACUGAGACACGGUCCAGACUCCUACGGGAGGCAGCAGUGGGGAAUUUUGGACAAUGGGGGCAACCCUGAUCCAGCCAUUCCGCGUGAGUGAAGAAGGCCUUCGGGUUGUAAAGCUCUUUCGCAAGGGAAGAAAACUUAUGAUCGAAUAAAUCAUGAGGUUGACGAUACCUUGAUAAGAAGCACCGGCUAACUACGUGCCAGCAGCCGCGGUAAUACGUAGGGUGCGAGCGUUAAUCGGAAUUACUGGGCGUAAAGCGUGCGCAGGCGGUUUUGAAAGUCAGAUGUGAAAUCCCCGGGCUCAACCUGGGAACUGCGUUUGAAACUACAAAGCUAG
rnacentral:rRNA from 1 species